UGUGCCACCGCGCCACAUAAAGCCGACGCCCCCGGCACCCUCCGUGCCUCCUCCCCGGCGGCUCCACAGUCCUCUCCCCGCUCGCGGAAAGUGGGGCGUGCGGUCGCCAGCCGGCUGCGCCGAGGUGGGUGGGGGGUCCCCCUAUCGCCCAGACUCGGUUUGCGUCCUUCCUUCAACCUUAGCUGCGGCCCCUGCCACACUCAAUAACACCACUACAUUCUCUGCACCGAAACUUCCCGCCAAGCAACACCCAGUCAAUUAACCCCAUCCUCUCCUCCAACACAGAGUACCACCCACGCACCUAGUCCCUCUCCCCGCGCUUCAGACCACCUCUGUCAUCGGAAAACCGCGUGAAGGGAAAGCAGGCAAUCAGCAGAGGAACCUGGCUGAAUUAAUGGCGGCUCCCAGAAGCUCCUGCCCCUCUGACAGCUGUCGCUUGGGCAGCCGGGGAGACGAAUCGUCCUCCUUCCUGGUGCCAGAGGACGCAGGAAAUUAGCCAGGUUGCGAGUUGCAAAGCGGCCGCCGCGGCGCCGGGAACUGGACGCGCCCCACCUCCAGCGGGAGCGGCGGGGUCGGGCCGGGCCAGGGCCUCGUCUCGCUCGCCAUCGCUGGACAAAGCGCAGCCAAGGCCAGCUGGAAGGCAGAGCUCCGAAGCAGGCAGGACGGAGCGGAGCAAAAGAAUGCGGCUCUAUUCUCGCAAGGGAAAUUAUAAAAAAGUUCAUGUUCACGGUUCCCAUCCACAUGACCGACAGCGGCCAAUGGAAGGGCCGAACAACUCAUAAAGUUGUAUUGCAAAGUUGUAAAUUUUCAUAAACAACAACGGAUUUAUGACCCUUUCCCCAUCACUAAGAGGAGGCAGCUCUUACACCGGCGCCAUCUUACCACCGAGGCCGCCCCGACUUGGGGCCGCAGGUUUAACAAACCCAGUUGGGCUGGGUUUUAUUAAAAGAGCAAUAAGAAGCGGGCCCAACCUAGGCAGGACACUGGAGUCGAGGUCUUCGCCUGCCGAGCUCAGGCUAUUCUGCGCUGUCCCCAUCGCCCCUCACCCCUACCCAGACCCUCCACCUUCCCCGCACCCGGACGCCCUCGCCAAGGCUCGGCAGCCCGGGUCUGCGGGGCCCCUGCCCCUUCCCAUAUCCCUCAUUUGCAGUGCUGUGCCUGGGCGCCCUUGCUUUGCCUGAAUGCAGGGUGGGAGGGGGGCUGCGUCAGAGGUCCUGAAUCCCACCUCCUAGCAUGGGGCCGUGUUCAGGACUCAUGGAAAAUUCGGGAUCUUGGCAGGGUGGUGUGCCCACCCCACAGCCGUACAGGAAAGGGUGGAUUUUGGAUUCGCUCAUGGAAUUUGUGGAGGGUUGUUUUUUUUUUUAAGGGAGAUUCAUAGAAUAUAAUGUAUCAUUGAAGAUUCCAUUUUCAAGAGAUCUGGAAGAUGUUUGUGCACACACACAAAACCAAGAUGAAAAUCUCCAGAGAAAUGCACAUAUAUAAUUAUGGACACACAGAAAUGCACACACUCAAUUAUGGACACAGAAAUACAUGCAACUAUUUACACCAGAAACACAUGCACUCAAUUUUGGACACAGAAUUACAUAAAAUCACUGACUUGGGUAGUAAUACACACAGACGUAUAUAAAAUACACAUACAAAAGAGGUACACACAUACCUAUACAAAUCCACACCUUAGAAUCCACACAAAAAGGGACUCGACACACACAUACACCAAUACAUGGACACUCAACACUUGGACCUUAUUUGUCCUUCCACUUUUGCUUCCCCAAAGCCCCUGUGGGCAUCCAGACAUAGCAAACUGUGGCUAGGCUAACCCCAGCCAGGUUUCCCUCUCUUUCCCAGGCCCCCCUGUAUAAAGCAGUCCACAUUUUUUUGUCACCAAGCAUCUUUAUUUUUCUGUUACAUAAAACACGGUUAGCUGGGCAAGACAGGAAGUGUGCCUUCCCAUUCCUGGAACCCCAAGCUAGAGCCUACAGGGACAAGGGGGACGCAGGACAACACAAGAGAUGAAGGGCAUUGGGAAGGGCAUCGGCCCUCCCCACCAGCUAUAAAGUUAGCUCAAGACAACACACCAUGCUACAAAGUCACCCCAUUAACACAUCCUUCCCAAAUCAAGACAUUGCCUUACAAAUGAGCUCCAAGACUAUAUAAAUGACAAAAAAAAAGUCUUGUUCAAAUAUACAAUAUUUGCUAUUGUAGGAAAAGUCAGGGUGUACAUAUUCAACAUGGCUGGACAGUAGGACAUAGGGGCCAGGGGAGGUGCAGGGAGGCUGGGAGCAUCUCUGCAGUCCUACUAAGCAGAAGCUAACCCAGAGAUCUGCAGCUAGCUUGGGAAUGCUCCCCUCCAGAAGUAGGGGUAAUGGGCCUGAACUUCAGGGGCCCAGGCCAGAGAAGGAGGGAUUCUAGGUUGCAGCACUUAGAAUGCUUUGGAAUAAAUAUAUUAUUUUUCAAUUUAAAUAGAAGCCAAUACCCUGGUCCCCGGACCCCAGCACCUUCUCCAUGCAGCCUCAGGGACCCCAAAGGCUGCCAGGCAGAAGCAGGAGGGGCCUGACGGGGGAAGGGGCCGACACUAGGUAGCAGGCGAGCCAGUGAGCACAAAAUAGGUAGUUUGGGAGGAGUAGGUAGUACUGAGAAAAUCAGGUCCUUGCCGGUAUGGAGGAGAUGCUGGGUGUCUGCCAGUGUUGGGACACGUCUGGGCUUCCUGGGAGUGGAGGCCUACCGGGGCUGGGCCCAUAGGUAGUUUGGGGUGCCUCUGGCCGAGGCCUGUGCUAGGUAGUAUUUUCGCCGUGCCAGCGCAGAGCUGGUCGGACUGGGGUUAGGGAGGGUGUCUGCUGGGGAUCCUUGGGGGCAGAGAGAUCCCCAAGGGGACCCAGUCUAGGCGGCUGCUCGGUCCAGAAAAGAUGGGAGCUGGAGUGGGUAAUGGGGCAGAUGGGUGCAGGUUGGGGACUGGGUUGUUUUUUGUUUUUUUUUUUAACGUUUCUUUUUAUUUUUUCCACUUUUGUAAAUAAAAUCAAUGAGU